CCCCUAGAGAGGGGCCUUGCCUUGGAAAGGGUUGCUGUUCAGGCCGUAUCCGGCAUCCGGUGAGCUCUUGCUGGCCCUUGAAAAUUCUGGGGAGAGGGUGUGGAUCUCGCGCCUGGCCUUACCCAAGUCUGCAACAGGACUCCAGGGUGAAGAGCCUCUAGCAUAUUGGAACAAUGUAGGUUAGGGAGGUCAGCAAGCUGGAAUCUUAGCUUCGGGAUGGGGAUUGGUUCUGAGUGCUGUGUCGAUCUAGCUGGGGACUGAAGCCGGGCUGGGCGGGCGCCUCCCCUCCCACACCCGUGGAAAAACCCUCCUUUCCUCCAGGGCCAGCCCUCCCCUCUCCCUUCAGGGCCCUGUUGUUCCCCGCGUAGUCGCAUCCUCUUUUCACAUUUGUCCGUUCUUUCUCCUUGCGGCGGGGGUGGGGGUGAGCGCGGCGGGGGCUCCGGAGCGGCGGGUCCAACCCGCUGCGGUCGGGAGAUAGAGGAACUAGUGGCCCGGGUCGGGAGGGGGGGUGGUGGUGGUGGCGGUAGACACUCCGGGAGCUGCCGCACUGGCAAUUCUGGACGAGAGUCCCGCACUUCCCGUGGAUCGCGCCAGCUGUGGCUUGCUUGGAGGUCGCACCCGGGGAGCCAGGCUGGAGCCUCCAAGGGCCCCAGCCUCGCCUCCCCUGACCGAGCGGCGGGGCGCUGGUGGGGGGUGUUCUUUCCCCCUCCCGCCGUCCCCCAAGUGAGGGGGCGUCCGGGGGACCUGGCGUUGGUGUUAACUACCCCCCCACACACAAACACACCCGCCAGCCACGGUUUUCCAGGUGACCACUCCCCUAGGCCAGCUCCUAGCAGAGGUCUUAGAACUGGUGGGGACCAGGGGAAUUCAACUGUUUGAUUAAAAUAAAGCAUCACAAAGGCCCUCUACAGGUGUUGAAGCAAUGUGAUUUCUGCCCAGUGCUCUGAAAGUCAAAGUGAACAAAUUCAAUGAGGCACAGGUAAACUACUGGAGUAACUAUGACUCUUUUAAGGUAGCCAAAAGCCUGGUCAUCUAAGUAAUGACACUGAAGAAUGGAUGAACCAGAUUCCCACUGUCCCUACCUACUAUCCAGGGAAAUCACAGCCAAGGGAAAGGGCUUGGCAGAAUCAGCUGGGAAAGAAGACCCUGUUGAGCUUGACUCUAGUCUGGCAAGGUGAAGAGACAUGAGAGGUGUAAAAUAAGUGGGAGGCCCCUGGCCCCCUUCCCCUCCCCACUUUCUCUUGAGGGGUCAGGAUUCUUUCACUGAUCUUGUGAUGCAGGGUUGGGUGUGGGGUGGUGGGAGAGUCCUCCCAUGCAUGCAGGCAGUUGCAACCAGCUCAGAGGACAGUGCCAGGUGGGGGUUUGACUGGGGCAGUACACCUGUCAAAAGGUAACUUAGGACAGGUACACCUGUCCUAAGGUGAGCUCAGGUAAGACAGAAACUGCCCCUGGAGCAGAAGGGCAAAAGCUCCCUUGAUCUUGAUUUUCAGUAGGAAUACAGACCUGGGAACUGUGCCUCAGAAUCCUUCUAACCUUUUGGGUUUUGAGCAAGAGGUGUCAGAAAAGUUACCACAGGGAUAACUGGCUUGUGGAGGCCAAGCUUUCAUAGGGACAUAGCUAUUUGAUCCUUCC
rnacentral:rRNA from 1 species